rnacentral:rRNA from 1 species
UUGCACGCUGGCGGCAGGCCCUGACACAUGCAAGUCGCACGGUCACAUACAGAAGCUUGCUUCUUUGAUGACGAGUGGCGGACGGGUGAGUAAUGCUCGGGCUCUAGCUUAUGGAGGGGGAUAACUACGGGAAACUGUAGCUAAUACCGCGUAAUAUCUGAACAGAUUACAGUGUGGGACCUUCGGGCCACAUGCCAUAGGAUGAGCCCAAGUGGGAUUAGGUAGUUGGUGAGGUAAAGGCUCACCAAGCCGACGAUCUCUAGCUGGUUUUGAGAGGAUGACCAGCCACACUGGGACUGAGACACGGCCCAGACUCCUACGGGAGGCAGCAGUGGGGAAUAUUGCGCAAUGGGGGCAACCCUGACGCAGCCAUGCCGCGUGAAUGAAGAAGGCUUCGGGUUGUAAAGUUCUUUUCGGUAGCGAGGAUAGGCCAUUAGUUUAAUAGACAUAGGUGAUUGACGUUAACUACAGAAGAA